rnacentral:lncRNA from 1 species
AUGGAAGCCUCCACCUGGCAGUACCGUGGAUAUUUACGGGAUGACACAAGUAAGGCGAGGGGGAGAGACUGCCCAGCUUCCAGGGGAGACUCGGCAGGGACGUGUGAGGAUUAUCCACUGCUGCAGCUCAGCCAGGAGGGCCUGGGACACAGCCGGGAGCGGGGGGAUCUCCCCAACCUCUGGAGCGACACUGCAGGCCCUGCCAAGAGGUCAGAGAUGAGCAGCAGCAGCGGGCAGAGAGGGCAGCGGGGGCCGGCAGGGGAGCUGUACCUGGAGGAGCAUCCCGUGUCCAAGGGGUGCAGGAGAGGCCGGGAGGGAGAGGCUCCUCCGAAGGUGUACGAGCUGGAGGUGGUGCCCAGGAGGGUGGGCACGGGCAGGACGGUGAGGCCAGUGGUCUACAGGCUGGAGGAGAGCGAGUACCGGCGCCUCAUCCAGGAGGCAGAAACGGAACCUGAGGAGGAAUGGGAAGACACAGAGGACACACUGCUCUUGAUUGAGGAGGGCUAUGCAGGGGAUGGGAAGGUGGCAAGCCCAAGCCUCAGCAGGCUCAACUCCUUGGAGAGAGUCCUGAGGAGGCAGAUGAGCCGCUCGGACUCGGAAAGCAGCGUGGAGAGCAGGCAAGUGACCAAACUGAGCCCCAAGGGCCCCUCGGAGGGGAACAAACCGACCGUGCCCGUCAGGUCCGACAGCUUCGAGCGCAACGCCAUCCUCAUGGAUUACAUCCUGCAAAGCAGGCAGGAGGCAGGCACUCCUGUCUCCUACAGCCCCGGGGACAGCAGCAAGGCAGCUGAGAGCCUGAGGCAGGUGCGGAGCUUCGGUCCCCAGCCCGAUGGAACACUUGACCUGUGCCAGAACGGCCAGGCCAGUGAGGAGAAUCCAGCCAGGAAGCCCGAGCAGGACCAGCAGGUAGUGAAGAGCCUGGAGAGAAUGGUUCCUGUGGUCACAAAUUAUCCCUCGUCAGCCAGAGACAUCGGGAGGCUUUCGAGACAGAGUAGCAGCCAGCUCCCAGAGAGCAGGGAGCAGCUCGGAGGUGAAGCUGAUGAACUCGAUUCCUACAUCCCGAAAAGAACCCCCCCGGUGCCCCCUGUCAGGACCCACAGCAAGGAGAGCCUGGCUCUGAGUAUGAGCAAGGCUGUGGCGCUGACGGAGGCGCUGCUGGAGCCCCUCGGCGAUGAGGCCAAGGCUGGCAGGGAGCAGCGGGCAGCGGCGGGCACGGAGCUGCUCCCUGGAGGCAGGACUGCGGGAGGAGGGGGCUCGGAGGAGCCGGAGCGGAAGGGGAGGCAGAGUCAGGAGGAUGAGAAUGUGCUUAAAGUUGCCGAUGCCAAGAAAACCUUCGAAAAGCCCAAGGCGUCGGAGGGGACGGCAGCAGCACCAGCGCCCAAAAAAGGUGAGGAGUGA